rnacentral:tRNA from 2 species
GCCCCUGUGGUGAAAUGGAUAUCACAACAGGCUUCGGACCUGUCAUUAGAGGUUCGACUCCUCUCGGGGGCA